UGAGGAAGAGCUGUUGUGACUGCGGUACUGCGGAGGGCUCUCGGCGGCCCGCGACAAGGCUGAGUCCCGGGAGGGUGCCUGUGUUUCACAGAUCCACUGGUGACAUGUCACAUUUUGGAGUAUAUGGAGUUUAGAUUUUUGGAUCAGGAAUGCUUAACCUGUAGUUAGGCUUUCUAAGGACUUAUAAAUAAGCGUCCAUGCCCCACCAUGCUUUCCUGUGACAUCUGUGGUGAAACUGUAACCUCAGAACCAGAUAGGAAGGCUCACCUAAUUGUUCACAUGGAAAAUGAAAUUAUCUGUCCGUUUUGCAAGCUGUCGGGUAUAAAUUACAAUGAAAUGUGUUUUCAUAUUGAAACCGCUCAUUUUGAACAGACUACGCCAGAAAAAAGCUUCGAGACGCUAGCCGCAGUGCAAUAUGAAAAUUCAGACCUCGGUAAUACCAAGCUGCACAGUACAGUGGAAGUUACCUCAGGCAUCCAUUCAGCUUGUGCAUCGAACUUUCCAAAGGAGUCGUCCGAAAGCCUUUCUAAAGAUAGGACUUUAAAACAAGAAGCUUUUUAUACAGAGAGCGUAGCUGAAUCUAGAAAGUACCAGAAAAGCAGAGAAAAGCAGUCCGGAUUGUCUGAGGCCCAAGGAUCAAUUUAUGAAACAACAUACAGUCCCCCCGAAUGUCCGUUCUGUGGGAGAAUUGAGAGGUACAGUCAAGAUAUGGAAAUUCAUGUGAAAACAAAGCAUGCCAGCCUUCUAGAAAGUCCGUUAGAAGACUGUCAUCAACCACUCUAUGACUGUCCCAUGUGUGGGCUUGUCUGUACAAAUUAUCACAUUCUCCAAGAACAUGUGGACUUGCAUUUAGAAGAAAGCAGCUUUCAACAAGUACUUGUGAGUGGGUAUGUGCCUGUGUGGACACCCGACCUGCGAUGUCAUCCUCAGGAAGGCCGUACAACUCCUUUAAGAUGAGUUUCUUAGUAUCUUGGAACACACCAGCAUGGACAGAGUCCAGUGUUCUAGUGACAGAGAAUUAGCUCACCAGCUUCAGCAAGAAGAAGAGAGAAAGAGGAAAUCUGAAGAAUCAAGACAAGAAAGGGAAGAGUUUCAGAAAUUGCAG
rnacentral:lncRNA from 1 species